rnacentral:rRNA from 1 species
AUUGAACGCUGGCGGCAGGCCUAACACAUGCAAGUCGAGCGGAGCGGCGGACGGGUGCGUAAUGCCUAGGAAUCUGCCUGGUAGUGGGGGAGAACGACCGGAAACGGGCGCUAAUACCGCAUACUAUCAGAUGAGCCUGGGUCGGAUUAGCUAGUUGGUGGGGUAAAGGCCUACCAAGGCGACGAUCCGUAACUGGUCUGAGAGGAUGAUCAGUCACACUGGAACUGAGACACGGUCCAGACUCCUACGGGAGGCAGCAGUGGGGAAUAGUGGACAAUGGGCGCAAGCCUGAUGCAGCCAUGCCGCGUGGAUGAAGAAGGCCUUCGGGUUGUAAAGUCCUUUUGUUGGGAAAGCGGUACCCAAAGAAUAAGCACCGGCUAACUCCGUGCCAGCAGCCGCGGUAAUUC